AGCCCUCUGUGACUUUGGCCAUGCUGUGUGUCUUCAACCUGAUGGCCUGGGAAAGUCCUUGCUCACAGGUAAGGCCCCCCACCAACUGCCGUGCCCCCCAAUGCAUUCAUUCGCCAAAUGCCCCAGGAGGCUCUGGAGCCUUCCACAGAGCCCCUCCUGACCACUGUGGAGGAGCGAGAGCCAGAAAAUCACGCAGAGACCCUGCCAGAGAAACCACGCGAAGCCAGAGCACCACUGAAAUCUUGGAGUCAGGAAGACAAGAACUUCGCUCAAUCUUACUUUGACUUCAGCAAGCCGGGGAUCAAGAGGGCCACCAUCAAAGGGCAAAUCCAGCUUCUCCAGCCACCAGCCACGUCCCCUCUGCUGCAGGGAAGCAAGGAAGAGUGAGUGAGGCCAGCCCCGCAGCUCCCAUAGAGGGGCUGUGCUAGAACGUGGCAGGGGUCCUCACACAGCUGGGUAGGGGUGGGGAACAGUGGAAUGAGGGCCUGGGAGCAGGAUGUGGUGGGCUGUGACGCCUCCACCUCAGUGACCUCAUAAAGGCUGUUGGAACGAGGUUCCAGUGGACUGAGGCGCAGAGCCAAGGCGAGGGCUGGAGGAGGCCUGGGGACCAAGGAGGGUGGGCACAGGGGCCUGGGUUCAAAAUGGGAAGGACCACACUGGCAUUAGGCGGCUUUCCACCCUGGGGGUCGGGCCUCACCAAGGUUGGGAAUGCUCAGGCUGGGGUCUGCCCUGUUGAAAGCCUGUUGGCCCCAACCCUGGGGUCCAGGACACUUUUCUUGAGGGGAGAAUGAGGGUGCAGGGCUCUCCAGUACACCUUGCUUUCUGGUAGUGAAUGGACACAGAAUGUAAUCUCAGCUGCCCAGACGCGGGCAGCAGCAGAAGACCCCUUACCCCCAGCGACCUCUUCAGAGGGGCCUCUGGGCUCACCCCUCUCCUUCAACCACCCUCUGGGGCCCAAGUGACACUCUCUCUUUUGUGUUGCAGCUCAGUGCCGCCAGGAAAAGAGAAAGAGAAUCCAUUAUUGGUGAAAAUCCAUUUUAAGCUGUCAGCCCCCACAAUCCCAGAGAAAUGACUAGACAGAACCAAUAAAGCCUCCAGUGCUGGCCGUCGGCUUAGACUUUUGUGCAAAUGCCCCUGGGCCAGGGAGCCCUCCUGGCUGCUGUGUCCUCGUCUGUUUUUUAGGGAUGCCACCCCAUUUUUUAGCUGCCCCAGCUCCACCUGCCCCCAGAGGGCAAUGCCACCCUUGUCCUGGCCACCCAUCUCUCACCUGCCCACUCCCCAGGGUCAAUUCCCUUCACUCCCUCCUGGCCAGCCCUCUAGGCCAGCAGAAAGACUUGUGGCUGGUCUUGGGGAGACCUCGGUGUCCUGUGAGGCUUCCAUUUCUUAGACUGUGAAAUGAGGCUUCCUCUUGGCCUGAGGCCAGGGAUGUGUUGGGAUCAUCUGAGGAGAUGGCCUUCUGGGCGUGGACUGGGCAGGUGAGAAAGUGGGUCUGAGGGGGUUCUUCCUGCGCUCUUCAUGGGGAAGAGCUGGCAUGGGGAAGGGAUGGUGUCCAGGAGCUUGAAGGGGAGGAAAAUGAGGCCGAAGAACUGGUCCUCCAGAGGGUCACAGGCUGGAGCUAGACGUACCUCCAAAUGCAGGAGAGCCAUAGAUCACCCAGACAUGUGCACACAGACACCACCAGCUGCCCGGCACAUCACACAUACAGCACCCACAC
rnacentral:lncRNA from 1 species